rnacentral:rRNA from 1 species
UUAGAGGAAGUAAAAGUCGUAACAAGGUUUCCGUAGGUGAACCUGCGGAAGGAUCAUUACCGAGUGAGGGCCCUCUGGGUCCAACCUCCCACCCGUGUUUAUUUUACCUUGUUGCUUCGGCGGGCCCGCCUUAACUGGCCGCCGGGGGGCUUACGCCCCCGGGCCCGCGCCCGCCGAAGACACCCUCGAACUCUGUCUGAAGAUUGUAGUCUGAGUGAAAAUAUAAAUUAUUUAAAACUUUCAACAACGGAUCUCUUGGUUCCGGCAUCGAUGAAGAACGCAGCGAAAUGCGAUACGUAAUGUGAAUUGCAAAUUCAGUGAAUCAUCGAGUCUUUGAACGCACAUUGCGCCCCCUGGUAUUCCGGGGGGCAUGCCUGUCCGAGCGUCAUUUCUGCCCUCAAGCACGGCUUGUGUGUUGGGCCCCGUCCUCCGAUCCCGGGGGACGGGCCCGAAAGGCAGCGGCGGCACCGCGUCCGGUCCUCGAGCGUAUGGGGCUUUGUCACCCGCUCUGUAGGCCCGGCCGGCGCUUGCCGAUCAACCCAAAUUUUUAUCCAGGUUGACCUCGGAUCAGGUAGGGAUACCCGCUGAACUUAAGCAUA